AUCAAGUGAAGAGAAAUGCAGAAAUGGGAAAAGGGUAGGCAAUGGCCAUCGAAAGAAGGCAAAAGGGUUAUAUGUAAUAGCUGGUCUAUGAAGAGUUUGAAACGGCAUGAAGAGAGAGGGAAACAAGUUGACGGAGAGAGACAGAAGCGCCGAAGAGAGACUUGAGUGAGGGACAAGAUAGAGAAAUACUGUGGGGUCCGAUCUGACUACGCACAAUUCUCUUCCUUUUUCUUCUUUCUUUUGUUUUAACUUCUUAUCGCUAAAGCCAAUAAGCCUUUUCCUUUCUUUGUAUCGUACUUUCUUCUAACGAAAUUUCCUUCCUUUUCCAGCUUCGUAU
rnacentral:misc_RNA from 1 species